CAGAAAAGACAAACCAAUUAUUUCUUAGAAAUCGCUUAUGACUAGCUCAUGUUUACCAUGACAUUUUUUUAAUUCACAGAAACACUUAAUCAAUGAUAAAUGGUUUUGUCAAAUAAUGUAAAGGAGAUAUCAGAACUGACAACUUCUGCUACCAGAUUUGCAUCUUAAUGAACUUUCUGAUGAUGCAGCCCACUGCUAUUCCAGUGCCUUACUGGACGUGGCAUAUUUUACAUUUGCUGAUCAGCUCUGUCCUGUAAAGCACUGCAGAUUCAUGCAUUAGUUCAAACACGAAUGAUUAUUUUUAUCACCAAAAAAGUGAAGAUGUUCUUCCAAGAAAAGGAUUCACACUUCCCUAACCAAGUGCAUUUACAAAAUGGGGCAUCUCGGCAACUUUAUCAAGAUGCCUGUGAUGUAGAACUUGGAAGAAAGAGACUCACUGUUGAAGAAGAUUGGACAUUGCAUG
rnacentral:lncRNA from 1 species